rnacentral:lncRNA from 15 species
UACUGCACAUGUAUAUUGCACAGGAGCAAAAUGGCCCCGUCGCUUGAGUUUCUUUGUUGUCGCGUCCAGCUUCCCUCCCUUGGAUUUUAAUAAAUUUGCUGCAUGUUAAGAUGCGAUUGAGCUGCCUAAAGUUGGCCGGUUUCCCCGGCUCUGUGGAUGAUAACUUGGAAUAUUAUUUGUAGCAAGGUAACUUACAUUUUGAGAAUUCAGAAUUGUGUAGUACGGAGCCCUGUUGGAUUGCUCCUGGUAAAUCAGGUGCUGUAUGCCUGCACAGCAAGAUGGACAAACGCCCCAGAAGGAGCACUAGCAACAAGAAGUCGUGAUUUGCAAUGCUGAAUAUAUCCCAUGCACAAUCAUACCCCAAUGUAAUGUAAGUAAAAAAUAGUUUUAUGUUCUUAUAGGGAUACAGAGUUCUCAUUAGUUAUACCGGUAGAUCUAUUAAAUCCAUUGAACUAUUUCCUGUUGACAAAUUAGUCUUUGGCAUAAAUUGUACAUACAAUGUACAUGU